AGUGAACGCUGGCGGUAGGCCUAACACAUGCAAGUCGAACGGCAGCACAGUAAGAGCUUGCUCUUACGGGUGGCGAGUGGCGGACGGGUGAGGAAUACAUCGGAAUCUACUUUUUCGUGGGGGAUAACGUAGGGAAACUUACGCUAAUACCGCAUACGACCUACGGGUGAAAGCAGGGGAUCUUCGUACCUUGCGCUAUUGAAUGAGCCGAUGUCGGAUUAGCUAGUUGGCGGGGUAAAGGCCCACCAAGGCGACGAUCCGUAGCUGGUCUGAGAGGAUGAUCAGCCACACUGGAACUGAGACACGGUCCAGACUGCUACGGGAGGCAGCAGUGGGGAAUAUUGGACAAUGGGCGCAAGCCUGAUCCAGACAUACCGCGUGGGUGAAGAAGGCCUUCGGGUUGUAAAGCCCUUUUGUUGGGAAAGAAAAGCAGCAGGUUAAUACCCCGCUGUUCUGACGGUACCCAAAGAAUAAGCACCGGCUAACUUCGUG
rnacentral:rRNA from 1 species